rnacentral:miRNA from 1 species
UCGCAGGAGCGAUGGCACUG